rnacentral:lncRNA from 1 species
UUUUCCGCUUCCGGUGCUCAGUGGCUAGCCGAAUAGCCGUGUUUGGGACCUGGGCUCGGGCUUCUUGCGUCCCCGCUAAGAACAUGUCACGGGGCCGAAUCGUCCGUAUUCUCUCAGCUUCAAGCUCCUCUACUUUUCAACCAGGUCACUAGCCCUUGACUCCUCUUAUCAAACUUCCGGAACUGCCACCCCACCAGUGACUCCACAGGCACCAGGGCAUGCAACAGGGCUGGGACAGGAAGGCUCUCUUCUUCACCUCAAGCCUGCUGGGCUAACACUUGCGAUUUUUACUAGAGUUAACUUUGUAAUGUAUGUCUCUGACUCUAGAAUUUCAAGAGAAGUUCCACUUAGUGACUCCUAAGUGGAAGUUCUAAGAUGGCUUCCCAGUGAGGUGAUGAAGAGGUUUGAGCUUUAGAGUGCGGUUGCAAAGCUCUUCUCUGACCUGAACAAUGGCUGUAGCUGUGGACCAACAAAUCCAGACUCCUUCAGUACAAGAUCUCCAAAUAGUUAAACUGGAAGAAGAUUCCCACUGGGAGCAGGAAAUUUCCCUUCAAGGGAAUUACCCUGGACCAGAGACAUCCUGCCAGAGCUUUUGGCAUUUCCGUUACCAAGAAGCAUCACGACCCCGAGAGGCCCUCCUCCAGCUCCAGAAGCUCUGUUGUCAGUGGCUAAGGCCAGAGAAGUGUACAAAAGAGCAGAUCCUGGAGUUGCUGGUCCUAGAACAGUUCCCGACUGUCCUUCUCCAGGAGAUCCAGAUCUGGGUCAGACAGCAGCAUCCGGAGAGUGGAGAGGAGGCAGUGGCCCUGGUGGAAGACUUGCAGAAAGAACCUGGAAGACAGAGGCUGGAGCCCUGCCUGAUGUGGCUCUGGGAAUUCCUGCAGAGAAGAGCAGGGGUGGCCAGGAGAUAGUGAGCAGCUCCCAGGAGGCAUGGAGGGAUCCAGAACCUGGACUGAAGAACCACCUAGAAAUAACUCAGCAGAAUUCUGAAAAUGAGGUCACGCUGGAUUUUCCAAUCCAUAGGCCCAAAGUGAACUCCCACGUGGAGUAGGAUGAAAACCCACAGCAUCUAGAUCUUCAAAUUCUGGAGAAAAAGAGAGUGUGAAAGACUGCUCAGUGGCUGGGGUGAGAGUCAAGUCUGGCCAGGUGCUAAUCUGGAGAAAAGCCAAGACCUGGAGCGAGCUGGAGUGGCAGGCCCUGGAGGAUGAGAAGGUGGCAGGAGUGCACUGGGGAUACAAAGAAACCAAGAUUUUUCUGGGAAUUCUCAGAGGCCUGGAUCCACGAAAAACUCCGCACCUGCCAUCGAAACCACCAGGUGUACCGGAUUAUGGCUGAGCAGCUGUGAGAACAUGGCUUCCUGUGGACCCUGGAGCAAUGUUGCUAUCGGUUCAAAAACCUCCUGACCGACUACUGCAAAGCCAGGAGCACCUACACACCAGGCACCAGUGUCUUCUAUGAUGAGAUGGAUGCCCUGUUGAGUCUUGGGGCACUUUCUAACACCUUUGAUGCCUUAGAGGUGGUAGGAGGCCUUCUUUGGGAUUGAGAGGAUUCCAAAGGGAACCAGGGCAUAGCACUAGAAGAUGUGGCGGGAUGGUAAUGAAAUAGUGGAGGAGUCUCAAGAGGAAUCCUGGAGGCUUGGUCCCCAGGCCUUGAGGUGGAAUCCCAGUGGCAACUCUCCCCCACAAUGGACCUCAGAGCAGUGGGAGCGACGCAGUCCUGUGGGAAGCAUUCAGGCUCAGAAUCAGGAGAUGUGAUUAUUGUCCUGGCUCUGUUAUGACUAAUUUGGGUCUGGAAUGGCCUCAUCGGGGGAAAAAUUGGUGACAACUUUAAGAAAUACUGUUUAUAUCCCGUCCUCAAAUAUUGCUUGACUCAACCCUCUACUGAACCAGUAGUCCAGGGUGGCUCACAAAGACCACUUUGAGGCUCUUGCUCUGCUCUUUAGCCAAGGAGUCUCCCUUCCUGCCUUCAGUAACAACAUUACAGGAAGAGAGGAGAGAAAGGUAGGAGUUAAAGAUCCAGUCAUUUGUUUCCAUCUAAAGUGCCCUAUAAGCCGGGCAUGGUGGCGCAAGCCUGUAGUCCCAGCUACUCGGGAGGCUGGGGCAGGAGAAUCACUUGAGCCCAGGAGUUGGAGGCCGCAGUGAGCUGUGAUCAUGCCACUGCAUUCCAGCCUGGGCGACAGAGUGAGACCCAGACUCAGCUGAAAAAUAAUAAUAUUAUUAAAAGAAUUUAAAAUAAAGUGUUCCAUAGAUGUGAACCCUGCGUAGAUUAUACACACCAGUCUGCCAUUUAAAAGGUUUGUUGUUCUUGGGCAACCUCUUUAAAUACCCUUAGCCUCCAUUUUCUCAUCUGGACAGUGGACAUUGUGAUGGUUUCUACCUCCCUGGGCUGUUAUGAGGAUCCUGACACAGUAUUAGCACUUGGCAAACGUUAGUUUUCAUUAUCAUCAUCAUUAUAAUUAUUAUGAAAAUAGAUAAGGGCAUUAUCCUGUACCCUCAAAGGAGUAAAAGGGGGAAAAUGAGUCAUUAAACUUUCUCUUCUGGGAACUAGACCUUCUUGAGAGGCACUAUCAUUCUCAUUUCACCUGUCACUUCCAGACAUGGGAGCAGAAAGUGAAUUUCAGAACUCCAUGUCCCCUCCUGCUUUUCUCUGAGCAGGACUUCCAGUUCCCCAGCCAGAUGGGGUCACAAUGCUGCAGAAAAGUGAAGAGCUUUGGAAUGAAGAUCUCCCGGACUUCAAGGAGAUUCAGAAAACGUCCAGUGCAGGUGGGAAAUGAAUGGGAGCUAGCAUUCCACCAACAAAGUCAGCCCUGGGAUUCUAAACUCGGACAAGCCAGCACUGGUUAAGGGCUGAGGGGAACCAGGCACUCAGUGCACCCAGUUUACUAUUCUGUGGUGUGGAAAGCACAGGACUUGAGAAGCAGGUGGCACCCAGGAAAGCCUGUUCCCCUAAGUAAGUUUGAACUUUAGUUACUUGAAAAAAGGUAUAACUGAAUUAUGAGUGUUUAUGAUUUUAUCUUUAUUUUAUUUUUUUUGAGAUGGAGUCUCACCCUGUCACCCAGGCUGGAAUGCAGUGGCACAAUCUCGGUUCACUGCAGCCUCUACCUCUCAGGUUCAAGCAAUUCUCCUGCCUCACCCUCCUGAGUAGUGGGGAUUACAGGUGUGCCACCACCAUGCCCGUCUCUAAUUUUUAUAUUUUUAGUAGAGACGGGGUUUCACCAUGUUGGCCAGGCUGGUCUUGAACUCCUGACCUCAAGUGAUCCACCCACCUUGGCCCCCCACAAAGUGCUGGGAUUACAGGCGUGAGCCACUGUGCCUGGUCUAUCUUUAAAUUCCUAUCUGAAUUUGUUUAGGUUUUUUAAAUAAAAAUCUUUCUUUUUUUUUAGAGACAGGGGUUCACCAUGGUGCCCAGGCUGAUCUCGAACUCCUCCUGGACUCAAGCUAUCCUCCCACCUCAGCCUCCCAAAGUACUGGGAUUACAGACAUGAGCCACAUGCUUGACCUGAAUUUUAACUGCAGUUAAUUAUCACUUAACCAGCGAAUUCACACAGGAGAAAUCCCCUGGCCGGGCGCGGUGGCUCACACCUGUAAUCCCAGCUCUUCGGGAGGCCGAGGUGGGUAGAUCACAAGGUCAAGAGAUCAAGACCAUUCUGGCCAACAUGGUGAAACUCCGUCUGUACCAAAAAUACAAAAAUUACCUGGGCAUGGUGGUACGUGCCUGUAAUCCCAGCUACUUGGCAGGCUGAGGCAGGAGCAUUGCUUGAACCCAUGAGGUGGAGGUUGCAGUGAGCCGAGAUCACGCCACUGCACUCAAGCCUGGGUGACAGAGCAAGACUCCAUCUCUACUACAAAAAAAAAAAAAAAAAAAAUUCAACCACCUUAGGAAGCCUCUCAUUUAUGUAUUUCUAGCAUGUAAUUAGUGUUGCACAUGGGAAGGGCUAAUAGAUGCUGACAGAGUGAACAACUUA